CCAACUGGGCAGAGGGUUCCUCCUCCUGUCAUCACUGUGCCUUGUUAUGCUCUGAGGGGGAUUAGCUAUGUCUCAGCAGAAAGAUCCCUGGCAGCUACUUUUUACACUGCAACUCUCAUUGAAAAAGUUUCUUCUACACGUGCCUUUAGUGGCAGAGCAGCAAGUAAAACAACCCUGAAAACAAAGCAGAAGGAUGCUAUGAAGGAAAGAAAACAAGCGACAAUUACUGGCUGCAUAUUAAUACUGCAUGGCUUUUUUACCCCUGCAUCAGAAGUAAAAUAAAGAAUCAGUGCAAGGAAAUAUUCUAUAGCUGUCAGGAAACAGAUUGUAAAUGAUUAACUUGAUCUUUCUGGGGAAGUAGUGUAUCUUCCGUUCAGAAUGUACAUCUGAAAAGCGGCUUUUUGUUUCGAGCAGUCUUCCUAUCUUCCCAAUGAGUUUUAAGUUGCCUGUCAGAUGUGCAGAACAGAAAAUCUGUAGAGGUAAAAAGGGAAAGGUUAACUCCCCAGCCUCUCUUUGAUAAGUAAGGGUAUUAAAACGGUGUGCCUUAUCUCUGUAGCAUAGUGAGUCAGAGAUACCAAGGAUAAAGUGCUAAGGUCCACAAAAUCCCAGGAUCUGCUAGUAGGUUACAAUGGCCAGAGCUCUAAAAGACCUAAGUAAGAAGAAUAUUAUUUUUGGGAUGGAGUUAAGAACAUGGAGUAUUUCUACAAGACUAUUUAAUAAAAUCUAUUAUCUCCCCUGAAGAA